CACGUAGGCGGAUUGUUAAGUCGGGGGUGAAAUCCUGGGGCUCAACUCCAGAACUGCCUUCGAUACUGGCGAUCUCGAGUUCGGGAGAGGUGAGUGGAACUGCGAGUGUAGAGGUGAAAUUCGUAGAUAUUCGCAAGAACACCAGUGGCGAAGGCGGCUCACUGGCCCGAUACUGACGCUGAGGUGCGAAAGCGUGGGAGCAAACA
rnacentral:rRNA from 1 species